UUUCUAUUUAUCGUUAAAUCAAACUUCAAACCAUUUUGUCCAGUUCAACGACGGAAAAUGGUAGACGCGAAGAACGCACGGACAAGAAUCUAUUUAUCGUCGGGUGGUCAGAGUUUUUUGGGCGUGAGAAUCGAAUCGUACCUGGUCCGAUGAACGGAAGCUGGUCUAUGGAAUACAAGCCGGUCGGGCGGACGGAAGCCGUUCGUUGCGGUCGCCGGAG
rnacentral:lncRNA from 1 species